UACGGAGGGUGCGAGCGUUAUCCGGAAUUACUGGGUUUAAAGGGUGCGUAGGCGGCCAUGUAAGUCAGGAGUGAAAGUUUGCGGCUCAACCGUAAAAUUGCUUUUGAUACUGCAUGGCUGGAAUCAGGAUGAGGUCAGCGGAAUGUGGCAUGUAGCGGUGAAAUGCAUAGAUAUGCCAUAGAACACCAAUUGCGAAGGCAGCUGGCUAGACCUGUAUUGACGCUGGGGCACGAAAGCGUGGGGAGCGAACAGG
rnacentral:rRNA from 1 species